rnacentral:lncRNA from 1 species
CAGAUCUCCUCUGAGUCUUCUUUUCUCAAGGUUGAACAGACCUAGUUCACUCAGUCUUUCCUCAUAGGGGAGAUUUCUUUUAUUAAGAGUGAAGACUAAGUGUCAAGAUUUUCAAGAUUAUAUACUUCUCUGUUAUUUCUGUCAUUUCCCAGUAUCUCCAAAAGAUUUUAGUAAUCUGAAAGAGUGGGAGGUUUCUAUCUUAUUCUUUCACCUCAGUUUUCUGUAAAAUCCAUAUCAGCAGUUGCUCUUGAAAAAGGAGAUUUUAUAGUUUCUAAGAAUGCCAGGCAUAGUACAGUCAGUAUUCAAAUUACUUUGUGUGGUGGCGUCUAUAUUAUGCUUUAAAAGGCAUUAAAAGUGAUAGCUUUUCAGUCAUUAUCAAAAUGAAGUGUGGGCCACAUUUCUAAUUUUGUUUCCUUAUUCUCUUCUCUUCUGCAUAUUCCUGAUACAAAUACCGAUGACUGGUGAUGAGUUAACUUGAGUUUGUUAGGAGAUGAUACCACAGCUGCUGCUUACAAAGGAACAGCGUACAUAACCCUGCCUACUGCUUUACACAUUCAGCAGAAGAGGUUACAAAGAAGCCACAGGGAAUGUAUGUGUUAGAGACUCUGAAUCCAAGAAAAUAUCCUUCCCAAUCCUUUUGUGAACCGCCCCUAAUUUUCAGUGCCCCUUGUACUGGAGCUUUUGCGGAUUUAUUGAUUUGGUUGCAAAACUGAAAACUAGGAUAUUUGGCAUUUAGAUCUUGUUUGCCUUUAAACGUAAGGAAAAAAAGAUGCAAGAACAUCAUGCAACUAAAACAAGCUUUUCUUGUUUUGACAGUAGAGCCUGCAAGCCCCUUAUCCUAUACAUAUGUUCCUGUACUGCUUCUGAGCAAGUGUCUCUUUGAGCAGUUCUGCACCAUUAGGCCUUUCAGUUCUUGAAACAAUCAAUAUAUUCCUGGUUAGAAGUGGAUGAAAGGGCAGUGAGUCUUUGAAUUUAUGCCCAUAACAGGGAGAACACUUUUUACCACAUAUACUUUGUGCCAAAUGCGAAUUGCCUUAUCUUCAUUUUGGCGUAUCCAGGCAAUUCAAGAAAGAAGAGAUAGAGAUUAUAGUAGCCCACCUUCCUUCAUCUCCUAUUAUUUGGUGAUGUCUUGUAAUGUUUUGCAAAGUAUGGGGAAAAAAAACAGGUAAGAGAGGAAUAAAUGAUCUCAAUCCUCAGUAUGAUUGCUGAGG